AUGUACGUCAGUAUAUGGGGAUGUUUCCCCCACAUUCAACGCCGAGAAUAGAGGAAAAAUUAAAGGGGAGAUAAAAUCCCCCCUUUUCGGUUAACU
rnacentral:sRNA from 1 species